rnacentral:tRNA from 1 species
CCUGGUGGCUCAGAUGGUAGAGAGUCUGCCUGCAAUGCAGGAGACCCAGGUUCAAUCCCUGGGUCAGGA